rnacentral:misc_RNA from 1 species
AGCAGCAGCAACAAUUCCUCUCAUGGAACCAAAGUAGUGCAGCAAUCAGCACCUGUCAACAUUCCUGGCUGGUCAAAAUUUUACAAAAAGAAGUCAAAGAAAGCUUCCAAGAAUCCUAGUUCAUUGGAUGAUGAUGAUGAUGAUCAAGAAUCAGAUGGUGAUGAUUGUCAUGGGGUUAUGAAUGAAGAUAAUGAUGAUGAAUUUGAAGAAGAUAGUGAUUACCAUUAUAAAUUGCCCCCACAUGAGCUCAUUGCCACAAGGCUAGCAAGGAGCCAGAUUUCCUCAUUUUCUGU